rnacentral:rRNA from 1 species
AGAGUUUGAUCCUGGCUCAGAACGAACGUUGGCGGCGUGGAUUAGGCAUGCAAGUCGAGCGGGAUUAGCUUUAUUCAAUUCUUCGGAAGAGAAAAUUGCUAUGAGAGCGGCGAACGGGUGAGUAAUAUAUGGGUAAUUUGCCUCUUUGUUCGGGAUAGCCAUCGGAAACGAUGAUUAAUACCGGAUGUGAUCGGUCACUGCAUAGUGACCUCUUUAAAGGUGGGGAAUCUUCGGAUCCUAUCGCAAAGAGAUAAGCCCAUACCCUAUCAGCUAGUUGGUGAGGUAAUGGCUCACCAAGGCUUACGGGUAGCUGGUCUGAGAGGAUGGUCAGCCACACUGGGACUGAGACACUGCCCAGACUCCUACGGGAGGCUGCAGUCGAGAAUCAUUGACAAUGUACGAAAGUAUGAUCAUGCGACGCCGCGUGGAGGAAGACGGCCUUCGGGUUGUAAACUCCUGUCAGCAGGGAGGAAAGGCAGCACUACUAAUAUCAGUGUUGUUUGACAGUACCUGCAGAGGAAGUCACGGCUAACUCUGUGCCAGCAGCCGCGGUAAUACAGAGGUGGCGAACGUUGUUCGGAUUUACUGGGCGUAAAGGGUCCGCAGGCGGUCCGGUGUGUCGGAUGUGAAAGCCCACGGCUUAACCGUGGAAUUGCAUUCGAAACUACCGGACUAGAGUACUGGAGGGGAGAAGGGAACACUUGGUGUAGCGGUGAAAUGCGUAGAUAUCAAGUGGAACACCGGAGGCGAAGGCGCUUCUCUG